rnacentral:lncRNA from 1 species
GCUAGGUUUAAUACUCACAACUUUUUUCUGUAUCAGGGGAAAACCAAGUUGAAUCUGUAGUAAAAUUUGUAGAACUUGCCAGAUUCUAACACUAAGUAGCUUGGUUACUCUACUUGGUCUUCUUGGAUUGCUUUUCUUUUUCCACGUGUAAAAUGAAAAGGAAAUGGAUCCUCUCUUAAAGGCUCUUUCAGCAAAUGGCUUUGUUACACAUGUUGUCAUGUAAACUUUAAACUAUGUACUAAAUUUUUUUAGGGAUUUGUAGUAGAUGGAAUUUUGUCCUAUACCUCAAAUUCAUUUGUUCAAGUACUAAUCCCCAGUGUGACUGUAUUUGAAGAUAGGGGCCUAAAAGGAAGUAAAUAUGGCAGAACAGUUAUAAAGGUGGGGCCUUGAUCUGCUAGGAUUAGUGUCCUUAUGAGAAAAGACACUGGCGAGCAUCCUUACCACCACAUUCCCCCUUCUACCACAUGCACACAGGAAAGGCCAUGUAAGGACAGAGUCUUUGUACAAGCCAGGGAGAGAGCCCUCACCAGGAUCCAAACCCUGCUAUAACACUGAUCUUAGUAUUUAUAGCCUCCAGAACUAUGAGAAAAUAAAUUUCUGGCAUUUAAGCCCCCCAGUCUAUGGUAUUUUGUUAUGCUAGACUGACUGACUAAUAUAAGAUUUUACCAUAUUAGGUAUGUUUUUAUGAAUUGAACUAGUAGCUGAUAUGGUUUAGAAAUGAAAUAUACAGUCUUCUUGAUAACAACUGUAAGAUUUAACCAUAUUUAUUAUGUUUUUAUGAACUGAACCUAUAGAUUAGAUAGUUUGGCAUUUUAACCUGAUGGUGGAAAGAAUACAUCAUCAUUUAAUCAUAUUAGUUAUGUUUAUGAAUUGAAUUUGUAGCUUAUAUGGUUUAGAAAUGAAAUAUAUAGCUUCUUGCUAACUACCACAAGAUUUAACUGUAUUUUGUAUGUUUCUGUGAAUUGAACCUAUAAAUUAUAUGGUGUGGAAAUGAAAUAUAUCGUUUAUUUUUAUUUAAAUAGUGAAAGGUUUUAACCUGGUGGUAGAAGAUACCAUCAUUUCAAUUUUUAUUUAAUCUUCUGGAUCAUGGAGAAUUAUGAUUCUGAGUGUAGUUAGAAGUUAUGAGUAGUAUAUUUAUAUUUUUGUGCUAAUUUGCUAAGUAAUCCAAGUGCAAUUGAGAAA